AUGCAAGUCGAGCGGUAACAGGUGUAGCAAUACAUGCCUGACGAGCGGCGAACGGGUGAGUAAUGCUUCGGAAUCUACCCAAUGGCGGGGAAUAACUAGCCGAAAGGUUAGCUAAUACCGCAUAAGCCCUACGGGGGAAAGCAGGGGAUCGUAAGACCUUGCACCGAUGGAUGAGCCGAAGCCGGAUUAGCUAGUUGGUAGGGUAACGGCCUACCAAGGCGACGAUCCGUAGCUGGUCUGAGAGGACGACCAGCCACACUGGGACUGAGACACGGCCCAGACUCCUACGGGAGGCAGCAGUGGGGAAUAUUGGACAAUGGGGGCAACCCUGAUCCAGCGACGCCGCGUGUGUGAAGAAGGCCUGCGGGUUGUAAAGCACUUUUAGUGGGGAUGAAAAGUUCAGGGCUAAUACCUCUGGAUCUUGACCUAACCCAAAGAAAAAGCACCGGCUAACUCUGUGCCAGCAGCCGCGGUAAUACAGAGGGUGCAAGCGUUAAUCGGAAUUACUGGGCGUAAAGCGUGCGUAGACGGUUAUGUAAGUCGGGUGUGAAAGCCCCGGGCUCAACCUGGGAAUUGCAUUCGAGACUGUGUAGCUAGGGUACGGAAGAGGGAAGCGGAAUUUCAGGUGUAGCGGUGAAAUGCGUAGAUAUCUGA
rnacentral:rRNA from 1 species